UCUCUCAAAAAGCUUCCCCAGAAUCGAGGUAAGACUUACUGGCCUAUAGUUUUCUGGGUCCUCCUUCCUCCCUUUUUUGAGAAUGGGAACCACAUUGUCCCAUUUCCAGCCCCC